rnacentral:rRNA from 1 species
GAUGAACGCUGGCGGCGUGCCUAAUACAUGCAAGUCGAGCGAACAGACGAGGAGCUUGCUCCUCUGACGUUAGCGGCGGACGUGUGAGUAACACGUGGAUAACCUCCCUAUAAGACUGGGAUAACUUCGGGAAACCGGCGCUAAUACCGUAUAAUAUAUUGAACCGCAUGGUUCAAUAGUGAAAGACGGUUUUGCUGUCACUUAUAGAUGGAUCCGCGCCGCAUUAGCUAGUUGGUAAGGUAACGGCUUACCAAGGCGACGAUGCGUAGCCGACCUGAGAGGGUGAUCGGCCACACGGGAACUGAGACACGGUCAAGACUCCUACGGGAGGCAGCAGUAGGGAAUCUUCCGCAAUGGGCGAAAGCAUGACGGAGCAACGCCGCGUGAGUGAUGAAGGUCUUCGGAUCGUAAAAAUCUGUUAUUAGGGAAGAACAAAUGUGUAAGUAACUAUGCACGUAUUGACGGUAACUAAUCAGAAAGCCACGGCUAACUACGUG